rnacentral:rRNA from 11 species
GGAAUUCCGAGUGUAGAGGUGAAAUUCGUAGAUAUUCGGAGGAACACCAGAGGCGAAGGCGGCUCACUGGACCGAUACUGACGCUGAGGAGCGAAAGCGUGGGGAGCAAACAGGAUUAGAUACCCUGGUAGUCCACGCCGUAAACGAUGUCAACUAGCCGUUGGGGAUCUUGAAUCCUUAGUGGCGCAGCUAACGCACUAAGUUGACCGCCUGGGGAGUACGGCCGCAAGGUUAAAACUCAAAUGAAUUGACGGGGGCCCGCACAAGCAGUGGAGCAUGUGGUUUAAUUCGACGCAACGCGAAGAACCUUACCUGGCCUUGACAUGCAGAGAACUUUCCAGAGAUGGAUUGGUGCCUUCGGGAACUCUGACACAGGUGCUGCAUGGCCGUCGUCAGCUCGUGUCGUGAGAUGUUGGGUUAAGUC